rnacentral:tRNA from 1 species
CAAAGUGUGGCUAAAAUAGUAAAGCAUCUCCCUUACACCGAGAAAAUAUCCAUGCAAAUUGGGUCACUUUGA